rnacentral:rRNA from 1 species
GACGUAGGGCGCAAGCGUUGUCCGGAUUUAUUGGGCGUAAAGAGCUCGUAGGCGGCUCGUUGCGUCGGCUGUGAAAACCCGCAGCUCAACUGUGGGCUUGCAGCUGAUACGGGCGGGCUGGGAUUCGGUAGGGGAGGCUGGAAUUCCUGGUGGAGCGGUGAAAUGCGCAGAUAUCAGGAGGAACACCGGUGGCGAAGGCGGGUCGCUGGGCCGAUAUCGACGCUGAGGAGCGAAAGCGUGGGGAGCGAACAGG